AAGUGCUAGCUACAUAAAGCGCAGCUAGCUUGACCGCGCUCCGGUUCGCGUCUUCCUCGGCUCCUUCGCUCGAACUUCGGGUGCCAGCGGGUCAUGAGGCGGGCGGCUCCAACACAACACGUGUCCACCGGGUCGGCAGAAGAACUUAACCCCACUUUCGGACCUAAAGCAGCGGUGGCCGUCGGUCUCUUCCCCGCCACCGGGGAGGAGUCUCGCUAGCGGGGCACCGGGACCCAGCGAGAGGCGCAACUUGCGCUCGGACAACCGCCAAGAAGAACCGAGUUCACCGUGUCGGAGCGGGCGGUCGUCGUCUCGUUGAGUUUGGUGAAGCGAUGCUGAAGCUGUGUCUCCGGAGAGCCGCGCGACCGGCCCUGCUCCAGCUGCCGCCGGCGCCGAUAGCGCGACACUCGCCGGGGCCGAGCCGCCGCCGGAUGGGCACGCACGGGAGGAACGAGCCGAAGGAGCCGCUCAACUCGCCGAAGAGAGCCAAGGAGUUCAUCUACCGCCUGCAGCCCAACGAGCGCACGUGUCUGCUGCGGGAGCUGCAGAGCUUCGAGUCCAUCGCCAUCGCCCAAGAGACCGUAGAGUCGACGCCGCUCACGCCAGCGCAGAUCAGAUACGUCUUGUUCCACAACGCCCUCCCCUUUGUCGGAUUUGGUUUCCUUGACAACGCCAUCAUGAUUGCAGCCGGAACUCAGAUUGAACUGUCUAUCGGAGUCACGCUGGGGAUCUCCACCAUGGCAGCCGCCGCUCUGGGGAACCUGGUGUCAGAUCUGGCCGGUCUCGGUCUUGCAGGUUACGUGGAGGCCCUGGCGACCAAACUGGGGAUGCAGGUUCCCGAUAUGACGCCCAAGCAGGCGGACAUGUGGCAGACCAGAGUCAGCUCUCACAUGGGCAAAGCCAUCGGCGUGACCAUCGGCUGCAUUCUGGGAAUGUUCCCACUGUUCUUCCUGGACGACGAGAAGGAGGCGAAGCCCUGCCGCGACACGGCGUCCCAACACUCGUCCUAACAAGUCUUCACUCCGGCGUCACCGCCUACGAACUGGAAAAACCCCCCGCUGAUGUCAACUUGAAGAAGAAGAGACAAAAAGUGAUGCUGUUGAUCGGUGUCGGGAGCCGACGUGCCCUCGAGCAAGGCAGCGGGGAACGAGGAAGUCCGAGCGGCUGUCAGGUCAGAGAGUGAGUCACUGGAACGAACGCAGCCCUGACUUUCUUUCACUGUUGCUUAAUUAAUAUAGAUAUUUAAUAUUGUACAGAAUAUUUUGAAACUAAGUUUUAGAAGUGUUAAGGAUAUUUUAUGGCUGAUAUGAUUUUCAGAAUUUCAAACAAUUUCAAAAGUAAUACGUUUUCUACACCUUCCUGAUGGAAACAUGUAUGUUCUGUUGGGAAAAUACAUAUUUUAUCUUUCUAUAUUUUCAUUAUACAACGUAAGAUGACUAGUGAUUGAUAUAUUAAAUAAUCUGUGGAUCGAGUCCCAAUAGUUUAAUCGGUCGUAUCUAUAGUCGCAUAAGAUGCAUAAAUACCUAGAAACAUAAAUUAGUUUAAUAUGUAAGAUGUCGCUUCAUGACAUAUAACGGGGACCAAUUGUUUUUUAAUCAUUAAGUCUAUUUGCAGAGAUGUGGUUUAAUUUUUUAAAAAUUUCAGACCAUAUUUCUAUUGACCUUUUACCAAUCGGCUCCAAAAGUAAAUGUGGAGUUCUAUAUAUAUAUAUGUUUGUGUAUAUAUAUAUUUAUGUAUCUUAUGUGGAGUAAUAUUAUCACAAAGUUUGGUUUAAAUCCGUCCAUGCAUGUUUUGUCGUAUUUAGUUUCAAGUUUUUAUUUUGGACAAUCAGAUCUUAAGGUCGGAGUAACUUUUUUAAAGUCUGUUACCAAUCCUCUGAUCUCUCAAACUUAAUAUCUCCUACUACAUGAUUAAAACGUACAUAUCCUUGGCGUGUUGGAAUGGUAAGAAAGAGCAAACCACUCGUGUCCUCGUGAGAUGCACUUCGUAUUCUACGACUUUAUUAUUGAGCCAAAACAGCCGGUUUACAUAGAAAAUAGGAGACAGUUAGUUUUCAGGAUCUGAAAAUGAAACAAAAUGUACAUGAGCCAGAGGUGAAGAAACAGUCAUUAAAAAAAAAUAACAGGCUCCAUUACCUGGAACGCCACAGACUGUGUGUGUGUGUGUGUGUGUGUGUGUGUGUGUGUGUGUGUGUGUGUGUGUGUGUGUGUGUG